GGUAAGGCAACGGGUUUUGAUCCCGUGAUACGAAGGUUCGAUCCCUUCCGCCCCAGCCA
rnacentral:tRNA from 1 species